GAUUUCUAUGGGAGCCAUCCUGACGCAGGCAGCGUGGACCCCCCGCGGCCAAGUGAGGCGAGGGGGUACGAGGACAAAGACAGACUGAUCUAUACAGAGGACGAGAAGAUCAGCCUCGCUCUGGAACUCUUCUCCGAUGUGCCAGAAUCCACAACAACAGACCCAAAUCAUCCUGACAAAUUGCAGCAAAGAGACAUCCGCUAUCUACAAUGCCCGGCCGCAGUAUCCGUGGCACAUCUGAAGAAAUUCAUCCGCCUUAAAUUCGACUUGCCGCCAAAAUACACGAUCGAUAUUUAUCACUCAGACGAGCCCCUGAAGGAUUUCUUCACGUUAAUGGACAUUGCCUACAUUUACACGUGGAGAAGGACGGCACCGUUGAGACUUUUGUAUACUGUUUACGAGCAAGUCACGAAAAAACGGAAAAAUUCCACUGAAGAAGACACGAUCCAGACACAGAAACACCCUCGUUUAGGGGUCAAUGACCGAGAGAGUCCGAAGGAACAGACUUCUACAGACAACAACAGAGGUUGCUGCACGUCGCCGGAAGGAGAUCAAGGUGACGAAAACUCGUCUCCGGAUGAAAACGAACAGAGUGCACGAGAACCCAAAAAGGAAUGUGAUGAAAGUGUGGGUGAGAAAUUAGUAAAAGAGUCGAGUGAGGAAAGUAUUUCAGACGAUAGCGAAAAGUUUCCGGCAAGUCACACGAAAAACACAAAAACGUCUGCCACGAACAAGCCAAAACUGACUGAAAAAGAAAGUGUGAAAAAUAUCAUGACAGGCAAAAAAGGUGUGACGCCCAAAUCCCUCCAUGAGGACGGUGGCAAGUUCUUCUCGUCCAAUUUCUACAAAAGGAAGGCGGCAUUCCAAGCUGACAUCGGAGGUGACUGUCCUAUUGACAUGACGAAGAAAGCGAUGAAAAAACACAAGGACUUGAGCGCAAAGAAGAUUGGGAAAGAACAAACUGUCGUGAACGGAACCCAUUUUCCCGGAUACGAGUUCACCGACUGACGACUGAAGACAAGAGUUGGUAUCCUGUGGACAGGCACCAAUAACUUACGAAUCCACGACAGCGAUUUUUUUUUGUCAUUGUUACAUGUACAUGUCAAACAGCUUUUUUGUUAUGGACUUUCUAUUCACUUAUUAAAGAAAGUGUUUAAAGGG
rnacentral:misc_RNA from 1 species